CAAGCUUAAAUUGAAGAGUUUGAUCAUGGCUCAGAUUGAACGCUGGCGGCAGGCCUAACACAUGCAAGUCGAGCGGUAGCACAGAGAGCUUGCUCUCGGGUGACGAGCGGCGGACGGGUGAGUAAUGUCUG
rnacentral:rRNA from 1 species